rnacentral:rRNA from 1 species
GACGAACGCUGGCGGCGUGCCUAACACAUGCAAGUCAACUUGACUGAAGGAGCAAUCUGACAGUAGAGUGGCGCAAGGGUGCGUAACGCGUAAGUAACUUGCCCCAAGGUAAGGAAUAACGUCGAGAAAUCGGCGCUAAUACCUCAUAAUGCAGCGGAUCCGCAUGGAUAUGUUGUUAAAGGUUUACCGCCUUGGGAUAGGCUUGCGUCUGAUUAGCUAGUUGGUGUGGUAACGGCACACCAAGGCUACGAUCAGUAACUGGUCUGAGAGGAUGAUCAGUCACACUGGAACUGAGACACGGUCCAGACUCCUACGGGAGGCAGCAGUGAGGAAUAUUGGGCAAUGCUCGAAAGAGUGACCCAGCAACGCCGCGUGGAGGAUGAAGGUAUUCUAUAUCGUAAACUCCUGUGAGAGCAGACGAAGACAGAUUAUAAUCUGGAUGACUGUAUGCUCAG